AAGAAGCCAUUUGCAUGUUAAUAUCUAGUUAUUUCCACGGGCAUCCUGGCACAAGGACAGGCCACCAUCCUUAAUCAAAAAUUCUGUGACCUGCCUCCAGCUCUUCUCCCCACAGAGCAGACUGGUGCUUUGGAGGGGGGAGAGUCGGGAGUGGCCAAGCCCCUUUGGAGUAACAGCACACCCCUCCAAGCUACAGAUCUCCAUGAAACCGCCACAGGGCAUUUCUGCACCUGGAGUCUUGCCUGGGUUUCAGGUGUGCAAAUGCAUCAGGUGAGGUCAACCGCCACCAGAGAGGCUGGCCUGUGGCUCCAGGGGGAUGAGCCACUUUAGUGACCCAGUGUCAGUUGAAGGUGGAGAAGUCCUGCCAGGAGACACCUGUGGGCUUGCUCACUGGAUGUGGCCCCAGGGCGAAGGGCUGCACCAUCCGGAGCCACCAACUUCUGUGGGUUUGGGGGAAGACCCUAAGAGCUUGUAGUUGACCGGUGACGAGUCCUUGCUUCCCCAAGGUUGAAGAAUAACACCAGAGAAGCACGCCAAGGCUAGGUCAGAGUGGAAAUUAGAAGUUUAUUAAAGGACAGCAGAAAAGACUUCUCCCGGAGGAAGAAGGGGACCCAAGAGGUAAAAUGCCCCCACUGGGCUCUGCUCCCCCAGGGGCAAACGGUGAGAAAUGCUUGGCCCAGUGGCUGAUGCCUGAGGAUCCUCCCACGUGGCCAGAAGGGGAGCCUGGGGCUGCUGGCCCGAGGUGGCGUCAGAAGGAAGUCCUCCG